GCCGCCGUAGCUCGGUGGUAGAGCAUCGGACGCGGUAUUCGAAGGCCACAGGUUCGGUCCCUGCCGGCGGCA
rnacentral:tRNA from 1 species